GACGAACGCUGGCGGCGUGGAUUAGGCAUGCAAGUCGAACGGUAUCAUCCUUUCGGGGGUGAGAGAGUGGCGAACUGGUGAGUAACACGUAGGUUAUCUACCCUCAAGACGGGGACAACCCAGGGAAACUUGGGCUAAUACCGGAUGUGAGCAACUUUUAGUUGUUUGAAAGGUGGCGUAAGCUGUCGCUUGGGGAUGAGCCUGCGUCCUAUUAGUUAGUUGGUGAGGUAACGGCUCACCUAGGCAAUGAUAGGUAGGCGGCCUUAACGGGUGGUCGCCCACACUGGGAUUGAGAUACGGCCUAGACUCCUACGGGAGGCAGCAGUCGAGAAUAGUCUACAAUGGUCGGAAGACUGAUAGUGCGACGCCGCGUGAACGAUGAAUCCCUUCGGGGUGUAAAGUUCUUUUAUAUGUGAGCAGUGCUUCUUAUAUUAACAGUAUGGGGAGAGAGAUAUUAGCAUAUGAAUAAAGCAAACGGCUAAACUCCGUGCCAGCAGCCGCGGU
rnacentral:rRNA from 1 species